CUGCUCAUCAUCCUCAACUCAUGUCUCUGUUCACCUGAGAUCUACUGUUAAACUCAUAAAACAUCAGAAACUAUCUGUGUAAUUUAUAAAGUUGAAGCUUUGCUGUAUCAGAACCAACAGUUUUCAGGAUGAGUCCAGAGUGACAAAGACGUCCUCAGAGGAGGACCAAUCAGACUCCAUGUGUCCAGACUGAGGACUGAAGACUCUGGUCUGUAUCUGUGUGAUGUGAAAACUGAUGAAGGCUUCAACUCUGGAAGAUGUCGACUCAUCAUCUGUGGUGAUUUUAGCUGAAGAAGCUGCUGAGCUCCAACCAGAGUGGAGACAAGACCUUCUUCUACCCUCCAGUGAUGUUUGGUUCUGUGGGACCAGCAGAUGUUAUCUUUGCUGUUUGUUGCUCAGUGGUCAGAAAGAGGAGAAGAAAGAUGAAGAUGAGGAUCCAAACCUUCAGAACUAACAUCCUCCAGGAGCUUCAGUAGGUGAGAUGUUGUGUUUCAUCAGAGGAACCAAUCAGAGCUUGAAAGAUCUCAGUGAACAGACUCCAAGACUCUCUUCAGCUUCUGGCUUCAACAGGCAGCUGUUAUUCCUCCACUGGUCCACCUCUGGGUGAAUUAAAAGAUCAGGUCUGAAAGGAGUCCAGAUGUUCUGCAAAGACCUUCAGACUGUCUCCAUCUGAGCAGACUUCAUCUGAUGUGUUUCCUCCUGCAGCUUCAUGGAAACUUUCCUCCAGCAGCUUCAUCUGAUUGAGGAUCUCCAACAUGAUCUUUGGUUCUUCUGUUCAUGUUUAUCUAUCAGAGAUCUGCAGUCACUUCCUCUCAGCUCUGUCUGCUUUAAUGGUCCAGGUAACAUCUAAUGAUCUUUGUUGAUCUCCAUGAAAAAAUCCACUGCUGCUUGUUCUCCAUUUAAGAGGUUCUGAUGUGGUUCUGAAGGGAAAGAGAGAGGAGGUGGUCCAGUUCAGCAUGCUUCAAUGAGGUCCUGUUCAAACUAAAUAAAAUAAAGUUAAUUAUUUCAUAAUGUAAAGAAAUGUUCAUACCCAGUUUAUCUGCAGACUGGUUUCCAGUUUGUCGUCCUGGUAAAUACGGCGUUUAGAACCAACCAGAACAAAAUGGAGGAUGAUGGAAGUUGGCAGAAAGAGACGAAAAAGAUGCCUGAAGUCUCAGUUUUAUUUUUAAAAACUGUUUUGUUCUGCCAGGCUUUUAUGUCAUGAUUUUAUGUUGCUUUUAUGUAGAUCUUUAUAUGAUUUCCUUGUAUAAUUCUUUGUGACUUUGUGUCUGUGAAAGACGCUUUAUAACUAAACUUUACUUUCUCACUAAAGCUGCAAACACAAACUAAAACUUACCAUUUCAGGUGUUCAGUGAUGAAGGUCAGAGAAGAAAAACUUAUUAUUAACUACUUCCUGCUUCAGGGAGAAGCUGACGAAUCCCAUCACAGGUUAAUGACCUGAGUGAAGUUGCUUAGUUCAGAAUGUUUAGGUGUUGAACUAUGAACUUGAUUAAAUACAUUUUACCAUGAAUGAAAUAAAUGUAGAACUACAUCUUGUUUAGGAUGAACUGGUACGACACUUCUGCUUCAAAAAGAAGUUAUAAACAUGUCUUAGCUAUCUAAUCUGUAUUUUCAAGCUAGAUUUCAUGAUCAUAAGCAGUCAUCAAGACUUUAACUCACCACCAGUGAAUCAAAGUAAGUUUAUGUCCACUUAAGGACACUUUAUUACAGUUAUAGCUGAUUGAUUGCAUUACUAUUUCAUGACAAAAACAUUUUAAAGAAAAUUGCUAAUUUCAUUUGUCUAUUUUUCUAAACAGAGGCCAAAGAAAUCAGUGGUGGACAACAAAGCUGUAUUUGUAGUCCUCUGUGCUUCAAAAGAAGCAGCCAUUAAAAAUAGCAACAUUGCAGCUCCAAGUGACGACCUAUGGAGAGAUCUCUGCUAAAAACCUGGUGAAGUUCUGACUAUUUAUCUGGUGAAAUAAAAAUAAUUAUUUCAAUGUAGUGACUGUCAGUGACAGGGCUGGUUGACCUUUGGUGACCUUUAGAAACUUUUGAUAUCUUUAAAAUUAAAGCGCCACAAACAAAGAUUCUUGAAGAAGGUGAAGGGGGCAGCUUCACUCAGGUCUUGUCAUUUCAUUAUUUCCCUCUCUGUGUUUCUCUUAAAGCAGUCUGAAGUUUUCUGUAGUUUUCUGAACUGUUUUUAAUCUCUAUAAAUUAUUAUGUGUUGAUUAAAAGCAGCUUUCAGACAGUCUGCAGAUGUGAAGAGCAGAUUAACCGUGAAUGUAGGGAAAACAGGGUGUUUCUAAUCAGCAGUACCAUCUCUAGCCCAUAGAGGGCAGACUUUAACACAGUGAGUCAUUCGGUGCAUAAAUGUAAAAAAAAAAAAGAAAAGCCAGAGGAAGUUAGAAUAGCUGACUUUACUUUUUAGUUUUGUUUUUUUAAUUACUUUGUUUUAAAUUCAGAACUUUGUCUCCUUUUUUAAAAGCCUCCUUCUCAGUUCGGCUCCUCCAACCCAAUCACUGACCUGAUUAACCUGAGAAAGACAUCUAACCUCCAUUAAAACCAAGAGUGAUCUCUGCUAGAAA